rnacentral:rRNA from 1 species
GGCCCUAGGGUCGUAAACCCCUGUCAGGUGGGACGAACCGUGAAUCGACGAACAGUCGGUUCACCUGACGGUACCACCAGAGGAAGCUCCGGCUAACUCCGUGCCAGCAGCCGCGGUAACACGGAGGGAGCGAGCGUUGUCCGGACUCACUGGGCGUAAAGAGCACGUAGGCGGCUAGGUAAGUCUGAUGUGAAAGCCCACGACUCAAUCGUGGAAGUGCAUUGGAUACUGCUUGGCUAGAGUGCAGGAGGGGUAAGCGGAAUUCCAGGUGUAGAGGUGAAAUUCGUAGAUAUCUGGAGGAACAACGGUGGCGAAGGCGGCUUACUGGACUGAUACUGACGCUGAGGUGCGAAAGUGUGGGGAGCAAACGGGAUUAGAUACCCCGGUAGUCCACACCGUAAACGAUGAGUACUAGUUGUCGGAACCAUCCUACCGUUUCGGUGACGUAGCUAACGCAUUAAGUACUCCGCCUGGGGAUUACGGCCGCAAGGCUAAAACUCAAAGAAAUUGACGGGGGCCCGCACAAGCGGUGGAGGAUGUGGUUUAAUUCGAUGCAACGCGAAGAACCUUACCCAGGCUUGACAUCCCGCGCUACCCUGUGAAAGCAGGGGUUCCCUUCGGGGACGCGGUGACAGGUGCUGCAUGGCUGUCGUCAGCUCGUGUCGUGAGAUGUUGGGUUAAGUCCCGCAACGAGCGCAACCCUCGCCAUUAGUUGCCAGC